rnacentral:rRNA from 1 species
GAUGAACGCUAGCUACAGGCUUAACACAUGCAAGUCGCGGGGCAGCAUGCGGGUUGCUUGCAACGCCUGAUGGCGACCGGCGCACGGGUGAGUAACGCGUAUCCAACCUGCCCUUCACCACGCGAUAACCCGGCGAAAGUCGGACUAAUAACGUAUGCUGUCCAUUGACGGCAUCCUAUUAGGACGAAAGGCUUGGCGGUGGAAGGACGGGGUGGCGUCCUAUUAGCUGGACGGCGGGUUACCGGCCCACCGUGGGUACGAUCGGUAGGGGUUCUGAGAGGAGGGUCCCUCAGAGGGGAACUGGGCAACGGGCCACACUGCUACGGGAGGCAGCAGUGAGGAAUAUUGGUGAAUGGGCGUAAGCCUGAACGAGCCAAGUAGCGUGCAGGAUGACGGCGCUAUGGGUUGUGAACUGCUGUUAUGCGGGGAUAAAGUGGCCCACGUGUGGGCUUUUGCAGGUACCGCAUGAAUAAGGACCGGCUAAUUCCGUG